GAUGGUUCUCAAGUUGUCUUCUUUAGAACAAAGAAUAGCACAACUUCGUCCGUUUCUUCAGUCCUUCAAGCCCACCUCAACUCCCCAACUCCCGACCUGAAUUCAGUUACUUCAAGGUUGCUGCGUACUGGAGAGCUUCACUCCUUCAAUCCUUCAAGACCACCUCGAGUCCAAAUCCAGGCGACCAGCCGACCACGAUCGUCGAGCAAGGCAGCAAGGUGCUGCAUUCCUUUCUCUUCUUCUCUCAGAGUCUCAGAGAUUGAAGGCUCCUUCUCUUCUACUGCUCUUCUUCUUUGGGGCAAUCGAUUGAAUGUAGUGCUUUGCUGACUUGCUCUGGAACACUGGAAGUCUGAAACGUGCUCUCUUGCUUACAAUUUAUUGUGGGUUUCUUCUCUUUCUUCCAAUUCGAUGUGAGGAACUGACUCAACUGAGGGCUGAGCCACUGGGGAACAAUGGUUUCAAAUUUAUUGUUUUGCAAUUGA
rnacentral:lncRNA from 1 species